rnacentral:rRNA from 1 species
GGUGAACGCUGGCGGCGUGCCUAACACAUGCAAGUCGAGCGGUGCAGUUUGAAGCUUCGGUGGAAAGCUGCAUAGCGGCGGACGGGUGAGGAAAACGUAGGAACGUGCCCCUUGGAGUUGGAUAGCCACGGGAAACUGUGGGUAAACCGACAUAGACUCGAGAGAGUAAAGGCCGAAAGGCGCCAAGGGAGCGGCCUGCGGCCCAUCAGGUAGUUGGUAGUGUAAAGGACUACCAAGCCGACGAUCUGUAGCUGGUCUGAGAGGACGACCAGCCACACUGGGACUGAGACACGGCCCAGACUCCUACGGGAGGCAGCAGUUGGGAAUCUUAGGCAAUGGACGAAAGUCUGACCUAGCGACGCCGCGUGAGGGAAGAAGGCCUUCGGGUUGUAAACCUCUGUCAUGGGGAAGAAGUAAGUGACGGUACCCAAGAGGAAGCCCCUGCUAACUACGUG